GAAGUCGUGGCCGAAUGGUUAAGGCGAUGAACUAGAAAUCCAUUGGGGUCUCCCCGCACAGGUUGGAAUCCUGUCGACUGCG
rnacentral:tRNA from 1 species